UGAAACGAACCCUUCUUGCUUUCUUGAGUACUGCUUCGCUCGCUCAUCAAUUACAAAGGGUUUCGCUGCAUUCAACUCACGUUCGGCACGAAGAAUGAACACUUUCAUCUUUAUUAUCUGCGUUUCCUUCAUCUUUUUCCUCCCCGGUAUAAUAAGCUAUAGCGAUCGCAAACAAGUGGUAUUCACGAAUGGGUCGACGCUGACGGUUCUGACCUGUUCCAUACCCAAUGCCAAAGAAGCGGUGUGGAAAUUUAAACCUGCCUCAGGAGAUGAAAAAAAAGAAAUAUGCAAAAUGCAUGAAGGCAAUGAGCAAUGUAAUUCCACCCAGUUCCCAAACAUUAAAUUGGCUGAUCCUGAUGGAUUCAGAAAAGGUAAUUACUCACUUCAGCUAGUAGCAAAAAAUACAGAUGCUGGAAUUUACUACUGCAAAGUCAAUUCUUCGAAAGUCCACGAAACAGAAAUCAGACUUAUAAGUUUCAAAGUAUCUGCAACCCCAGAAAACCCGAUUUGUGAGGGAGCCACGGUGCAGCUGAUGCUAGAAUCAUCCGAUAUUUCCUAUUUUCGCAAUAUGACAUGGAGCGUUUCGACCAAUAAGAUAAAAGGGGAAGGGAUUGAAAUUUAUUGGAAGCUAAAUAAGGAAAAGAUAGUCAACAAUUCGCGUUUCCAGUUCGAUUACAGAAGUUUAAACAUCAGCGGGUUUCGCUCGGAGGAUCAGGGGCGCUACGUCUACACUGUGAAAUGCAGCAAAGGAAAUUCGUCAUUUUACAGCAUCUCACUUCAAAUAGCAGGAGCAACUACUUCUCAGACUAAUACAUCUCUUUCGACAACAGGAACAACUGCUUCUCAGACUAAUACAUCUCUUUCGACAACAGGAACAACUGCUUCUCAGACUAAUACAUCUCUUUUGACAACAGGAAUCUGGAUCGCCGCCUUCCUCUUCGGAACGCUGGGGAUUAUGAUCAUCAUCAUUCUUCUCUGUAUCAUCAUCAAAAAGAAAUGCACAUCAGCAGGAGAUCCAGACACAGUUCAGGCUGCGACGGUGGAUAACGAGGUCCCCUAUGCAACGAUUAACCUGGCUGCAUCGAACAAAGCUGAACCGAGUGCUCCAGUAACUACAGAGAACACCUUGUAUGCACAGGUUAAAAGAGAGCGGGCAGAGCCUGCCACAAAUGAGAUUUCAGUUUAAUCUGAUCUCCUGAGUGUAUCCAUAUGGGUUUUGACACUGCUUCGCUGUGCCCCACGCAGGUAUCUCUGCAAAGAAAUUUUCACAACUUCUUUGCACGUUGAUUCUCUGCCUGAAAGCCACACCUCCUCACCCCACCAUGACUAGGUCACACGGCAGACCAGACAGCACAGGAAGAUGUAUAUGUUCAUUCCUAGUGCUGAAUUUGCAAAGCAGCCAUCUGUAGUGCAUUUAAACCCUUUUGUUGAUCAUUUAGUGACAGCUUUCUUCCAAUGUGCAAGUUUGAAAGCAAUUGAUUUGCCUCUUUUUCACUUCCCUCUUCUGUGUUCCAGUGGAGUGACCGUUUUGCCCUGACCUUUCACUCUCUCCUGUCUUGUCAAUACAGAUCAUUUCCUUGCUGAAUUCAUCUAAACAAAUGAGCUGGCAGCAUUGUCAGAACAAUAUUAGGUACUUUUCCCAACAGUGGCCUCCUGGCAUUCAGAUUGGUGGGUUUCUGAAAGCCAGUAGUCUCUCAGAGUUUGGCACAUUCCCACUGGCUUUUCAGGUUUGCAGAGUAGGUUAAGGGCCUUUGAUUGAGCUAUAGGACCUGGAUGGUGGAGAGAAUGGGUCUCUUACUUUAAAGAUUCAAUUUAGGGGUUUGCGAAUCACUGGACUUCCCCACAUUCCCAGAAAAACUUUUCCUCCAACGACUUGUCCAAUGGCCUUGGUAAAUUACCAUCUGGUUCCGAUCAUUUCAUAAAAGAGCACUGUAUUCUUAAUACAGUGAUUGUUUUGGCAAUUAUACAAAGAAGUAAUUUGUUAUUUGUUUUAGCUAACCACAGCAUGAAAUUUAAUUCUAUUAUCGAGCAUCCCUUUAAGUGCAAAGGUCUGAAGGGAUACGAUGCAAUUGCUUAACAUGCAGUGAUCAGACUUGGAUGCAAAGGAAAAUCAAAUUAUUGGUGGGAGAGGAGGGAUGAUAGGUGAUAAUUGGUUAGUUAGGAUUCUCCUGGGCAUAUUAGAGUCAUCCUGUUUCUUCUAGUUUAUAUUAAAUCCAAUUGUCUAUUAUUCCUGGACUUUCUUGAGUGUCCCCAACAUGUUUAAGUUUCUCUAUUGACACAGUAUUAUAACACAUUCCACUUUAGCCAGUGGGAUAUAAUGAUGUUUAGAAAAUGGGGAACCUAAUGCAUUUUGAGGGGUGCCAAAACUGAGCCUCUGGGAAUUUCAGAGGAGGUCAUGAAUCAGACCCCCACCUCCCCCCACUGUAUUUCAAGAGAGAAACAGGGAACACUGCCUGGUAUACCUGAUCUUAAAUGACUGAGAUCAUCAAACUAAUCUCAUUAUUUUUUUGUCAGGUGCUGGUGGCACGAAAAAAAUGUAACACAGAUCUGAAUAUCUGCAUGAGGUUACUGUACUGCCCUAUCUGAAUAUCUGCUCUGAAUUUCAUUCCCCU